rnacentral:rRNA from 1 species
UACGUAGGGUGCGAGCGUUGUCCGGAAUUAUUGGGCGUAAAGAGCUCGUAGGCGGUGUGUCGCGUCGGCCGUGAAAACCUGCAGCUUAACUGUGGGCUUGCGGUCGAUACGGGCAGACUGGAGGUAUGCAGGGGAGAACGGAAUUCCUGGUGUAGCGGUGAAAUGCGCAGAUAUCAGGAGGAACACCGGUGGCGAAGGCGGUUCUCUGGGCAUGUCCUGACGCUGAGGAGCGAAAGUGUGGGGAGCGAACAGG